UAGGGAAUUUUCCACAAUGGACGAAAGUCUGAUGGAGCAACGCCGCGUGCAGGAUGAAGGCUUUCGGGUCGUAAACUGCUUUUAUAUGUGACGAAUAUGACGGUAGCAUAUGAAUAAGGAUCGGCUAACUCCGUGCCAGCAGCCGCGGUCAUACGGAGGAUCCAAGCGUUAUCCGGAAUUACUGGGCGUAAAGAGUUGCGUAGGUGGCAGAGUAUGUCUGUAGUGAAAGCGUGUGGCUCAACCAUAUACACAUUACAGAAACUGCUCAGCUAGAGGGCGAGAGAGGUAACUAGAAUUCCUAGUGUAGGAGUGGAAUCCGUAGAUAUUAGGAGGAAUACCGAUGGCGUAGGCAGGUUACUGGCUCGUCCCUGACACUAAGGCACGAAAGCGUGGGUAGCAAACG
rnacentral:rRNA from 1 species